UUGCUCGCUUCGGCAGCACAUAUACUAAAAUUGGAACGAUACAGAGAAGAUUAGCAUGGCCCCUGCGCAAGGAAAUCUGGCCUCUUUAAACAGAUCCACGCACUGGUU
rnacentral:snRNA from 1 species